rnacentral:rRNA from 1 species
UGCCUCAAAGAGGGGGACAACAGUUGGAAACGACUGCUAAUACCGCAUAAGCCCACGGCUCGGCAUCGAGCAGAGGGAAAAGGAGCAAUCCGCUUUGAGAUGGCCUCGCGUCCGAUUAGCUAGUUGGUGAGGUAACGGCCCACCAAGGCGACGAUCGGUAGCCGGACUGAGGGGUUGAACGGCCACAUUGGGACUGAGACACGGCCCAGACUCCUACGGGAGGCAGCAGUGGGGAAUAUUACACAAUGGGGGAAACCCUGAUGCAGCGACGCCGCGUGGAGGAAGAAGGUCUUCGGAUUGUAAACUCCUGUUGUUGGGGAAGAUAAUGACGGUACCCAACAAGGAAGUGACGGCUAACUACGUGCCAGCAGCCGCGGUAAAACGUAGGUCACAAGCGUUGUCCGGAAUUACUGGGUGUAAAGGGAGCGCAGGCGGGAAGACAAGUUGGAAGUGAAAUCUAUGGGCUCAACCCAUAAACUGCUUUCAAAACUGUUUUUCUUGAGUAGUGCAGAGGUAGGCGGAAUUCCCGGUGUAGCGGUGGAAUGCGUAGAUAUCGGGAGGAACACCAGUGGCGAAGGCGGCCUACUGGGCACCAACUGACGCUGAGGCUCGAAAGUGUGGGUAGCAAACAGGAUUAGAUACCCUGGUAGUCCACACCGUAAACGAUGAUUACUAGGUGUUGGAGGAUUGACCCCUUCAGUGCCGCAG